rnacentral:piRNA from 1 species
UNCCAUGUGGUGUAGCAUUACUCUAAGCA